CGCCUAACACAUGCAAGUCGAGCGAGAAAGUUCCUUCGGGAAUAAGUACAGCGGCGGACGGUUGAGUAACACGUGAGAAUCUACCCUUCAGUGAAGAAUACCUUCGGGAAACCGAAGUUAAUGCUGCAUGCGUCCCUUCGGGGAGAAAAAUGGCCUCUUUGCUGUUGCUGAAGGAUGAGCUUGCGGGAUAUCAGCUUGUUGGUGAGGUAAGGGCUUACCAAGGCUAUGACGGCUAGCCGGCCUGAGAGGGUGAUCGGCCAGACUGGAACUUAGACACGGUCCAGACUCCUACGGGAGGCAGCAGUGAGGAAUAUUGCGCAAUGGGCGAAAGCCUGACGCAGCGACGCCGCGUGGAGGAUGAAGGUUUUAGGAUUGUAAACUCC
rnacentral:rRNA from 1 species